AGGAAUGCGGGCGUAAAGCAUGCCGGGCAGACGCUGGUCGUAGGUGUAACGUGCCGUGCCCGUGACUUUCAAUGGACCAUCGACGCGCGUGACACGUUGAUUCAGCAACUUGUGCUUGUCGUUCGGUCCCCAGCCCGGGCCGGCAUCCACAUCGACUUCGAUCUCGACCAUCUGUUCGACGCCGUUGAUGACGCGCGGCACGCGGACCUUCUUCUUGGGUUUCGGCGAUGGUGACGGUGGUGCUUGGGGCUGUUGCAUCAGUUUUCCUUUAUUGAUUUCUCAGCCGGCAGUGGCUUUCGCGGCUGCGAGUGCCGCUUCGAAGACUCUCGGGUAGGUUCCGCAACGACAGAAGUUUCCCUUGCACGCUUCACGAACUUCGUCGAGCGACGGGUUUGGGUUCUUCUUCAGGUACGCCGAGAUCGUCGUGACGAAACCGGGCGUGCAGAAGCCGCACAUCAACGCAUCGUGUUCCACAAACGCAGCCUGCACG
rnacentral:rRNA from 1 species